GUUCGAAGGCGCGUCCGGAUCCGGACCGGCGGGGAAGGCCAUCGCGGAGCCGGGUGGCUGCGCAUGCGCCGCGGGCGCCUCAGCGGGGGGCGCCGAGGCUUAAAUACAAAGUGAAUAAGAAUGUCAAUAGUCACAGUCCAGCUUGGUCAGUGUGGCAAUCAGAUUGGCCAUGAGGUGUUUAAUGCUAUCUGCAGUGACGUCCAUGGCACACAUGGGUUGUGUUCCAAGAAGGAGAAUGAAUCCUACCACGAUGCUUGCAAAGAACGUUUUUUCAGUGAGGAGGAAUCUGAAGUACCUGUUGCCCGAGCUGUGCUGGUUGACAUGGAACCGAAAGUCAUCAGCCAAACCUUAUCAAUAGCCGCCAGGUCUCGCUACUGGAAAUACGAUGAUCGGUCACACUUCUGUCAGAAGCAAGGGUCUGGGAACAACUGGGCAAAUGGUUAUUCUGUUCACGGGCCUAGACACAAAGAAGUAAUAAUGAAUCUGAUACAAAAAGAAGCAGAGAAAUGUGAUCGACUCGGUGGAUUUUUCACAAUAAUGAGCAUGGCUGGUGGUACAGGAUCUGGCUUGGGAGCAUUUGUGACCCAGUGUUUAAGAGAUGCUUUUCCAACCUCAUUUAUACUAAACCAUGUUAUCUGGCCCUACGGCACUGGUGAGGUCAUUGUUCAAAACUACAACUCUGUUCUGACUCUGUCACAUCUGUACCAGUCAUCAGAUGCCCUUCUUGUUCAUGAAAAUGAUGUCAUCCACAAGAUCUGCGCUCAGCUGAUGAAUAUUAAACAGAUCUCCUUCAGGGAUGUAAAUCAAGUCAUUGCACAUCAGCUGGGGAGCGUUUUCCAGCCCACUUACACAGCAGAAAGUGGCUUACACUAUAGCAGAAACCCAUUAGGAGACUUAAUGGAGACGUUAGUUCCACAUCCAGAAUUCAAGAUGCUGGGUCUUCGUAACAUACCUCAGAUGCCUGAAAACUCCCUCGCUUACAGCACAUUCAGUUGGCCUGGACUCAUCAAACAUUUAAGGCAGAUGCUCAUUGCUAAUGCUAAAAUGGAGGAAGGUAUUGAUUGGCAAGUAAGACCACCACGUCUGGGCUCCUCCAUCCCCUCCAGUCAUUCCACAAACAAGCCGCCGCAUUUCAAUACUUCCAUUGCCAACCUGGUUAUCCUGCGAGGAAAAGAUACGCAUAGCGUAGACUUAGGAAGUUUCCGAGAUCCCUCAUUAUACACAUCAUGGCUAAGCCCUCAGGACGCUUUUAAGGCGUGGAAAACACCAAGAGCAUUUAACAAGUACGAAAAGUCUGCUACUUUGGUCAGCAACAGCCAGUUCCUGCUGAAACCUCUUGAUAAUGUUGUAGGAAAAGCUUGGAAUAUGUUUGCAUCCAAAGCCUAUAUUCACCAGUACACCAAAUUCGGGAUCGAAGAGGAAGAUUUCCUGGACAGCUUCACAGCUCUGGAACAAGUUAUCUCCAGUUACACCAUCCUUUGAUUUUUUUUGAAAUGGUCUGAAAUAGAGCUUCCCCGAAAGAAGCCAGCACUGGAAAACCAUCCAUCGACUUCCCAAAGUCUGGUACAGAAGAACUAAAAUCCUCCCCCACCUCCCCGAGAGCCUGUUCUCAAAGCAGCUCUGGCACACGACACCUGGAACAGCAGACAGACUUCUUGACAAGAUUCAAGUAACUGUACAAUUGAAUCUGAAGAAAAUAAGUCCAGUUUCUUUCAGAGAGACAGAAAGGAAAUGUUGAGCACAGAAACCUGGUUUUUCAAGCCUUUUCAACAGACGGAGAGAGCCGAAGAAACGUGCAGUCUCAGGAAAGACAAACACGAUCCCGUAAAACUCAUGACUUCUACAUGUAAGUGUCAGCCUUGAACAAAGCAUGUGUGUGGUUGAGGGGCAGCUUCUGCAAGAGAACUGCCAGUUUCUUUCCUGACAACACGGAAGGAAAACAGAGGUACUACAAGGUCACUGCGUGCGGAUAGAACAAGCUUUGGGAAAUGCAUCUAAUCUCUUGAAGAAUCUUUUACACUGUCAAAUGGUUCGAGGCAGAGUUUAACCUCCCCAGGCACCGGGCCCUGGUGGUGCCUGUGCUUCAGUAGCUUAGAGCUCUGGCUGAUACCUUCCGCUAGAUCGAUGACAUUUUCCGCCAAAUCGGUGCCAGUGAAAAGGCUUUAGACCUUAGAAAUGUCACGCAGAUCAACUGGUACCCACGUGAGGUAAUAGGUGACUCCCCACAGACUGAUGCCAUCAAUCACAACUGUGGUCUCAAUCUUGCUUAAAGCCAGGCUAACAAACGCUCUGGUGUAGUUCAGAGAAUUUGCCUAGAUCUGAGAUACCUUUUGAGAUAAGUGCAACACUCCAUAUAGCAAAAAUCUGCUAAAUGACACGCUACCAAAGCCACAAGGAAACAAAAAGUUCCAGCCAUCUCUUAUGGGGAGGCAGAACCAGACCCGUGUGACCUGCUCUGUCACACUAGCAUUAAAAAAAACCAAAAACCCCAAACCUGGUGGAUUAUGCCUUAAAUCACGUGUCCUAAAACACACAGCCAUUCCCUUGCAGGACCCCCAAAGCAGGAAGAGCGCAGCAGUCACCAGACAGGACAGCAGCUCGCACUGCUUACAAGGAGAGAGCGCAGUCUCUGAGGCCGCAGGAGCAGGGUGCGGCUGUUAUCAGAGCAGGGAACAAUACACCGAGCUGACAAGUCCUAUCUCUCGCCUUUCAUCAGGAAAUAGCAGCGAGUUUCCUUAUUACCAGCUGCCUGGGCAACUCAUUUAAGCUUCUUGGGAAACCAGAAGAACAAUUAAGCUGGGAGUAACUCCCUUGAAACACGGAAGAUGCAGCACACUUACCCGUAUCUGACCAGUCAAAUGAGGUUUAAAGAAAGAUGACCUUUGAUUUAAUGCUAAUCUAGUCCAUGCUCUUUGAAUCAUUCCAUGAGCGAGUAAGAAUAAUAAAAAGAAACCUUCUAGCACAAUAAAGGGCAGUGUUAAAGGCAAAGUAAAACAAAGCUCGGCCCAUUUAACAGGUUCACAUUUGCAAAACUUGUUUUACCACAACUGACCAUCCCAGGCGGCGAACGGGCUGGAUGACUUCACAGCUCCACAGCCGCUUCACUCGAAAUUCAGCACAGAGUAAGAAUCAGGUUUUUUUGACCAAAAUACCAUUUUGCUGAAUUCCUGACACAUACCAAGAAGCCCAUGACAGACUGCUGGGCUCUUCCCAUUUUCUUUUACCUGGGAGACAAUACAGCCAGACGUCUUUUGGACAUUUGAUGACAGUUUCUGCAUUUCAGCUCCUUUCACUCUUUUGACAGCCGACCCAGGCUGUUACAGCCUCUCCCAUUCACGCCACUAUCAAAACGGUGUUUUGCUGCCUUUUAUGAAAGCCGAGUGGAUGCAUCAAUAAGCAAAAUGAAACGGAUAAAGAAAUAAAUGCUAGCAUUUCGUGCCCUCAGCCAGACACUUGAAUUAGGAAAGUCACAGCAGGCUCAAAGAGUUUUUCAGUAUAAUCCUUUUAAAAAUGAGUUUGCAAGAGCAUAUGCAAAUAUUUACCCUCAACCUAGUUCUGAAUGCAUCGGCAGGGUGUUUCGCAGGGAAGGCGAUUGCUUCACUCCCGGUUUCCUGAAGAGGUUACAGCAAUGGGCUCCACCAGUUAAACCCUCACCUGAGCCCGCCUGCGCCCAGGCCUGGUGCCAGCCCCGCGGGAAGCCCUCCCGGGCCACAGCUCCCCCCUUCACACCCCACUUCGUGCUGCAAUCUGGAGAAGGCUGGGCAAAGUGCUUACUGGUUUUACUUCUUCCCCUCCAAAAAAUAAAAUACAUACAUUUACAGGAAAAGCCCCUCAAUUCUAAAUCUCAGAAGAGCAUUUUCAAUUACCUUAUAUAUAUAAUUACGUUCAACCUUUUACCCGCUGAUUACAAAGUAUUUUUUUAACCAUGUGCUUCAAAGAAAACUGCAUUGCAUUUACCUCCAAGGAACACACCCAACCACCACUUACUUUUACACCUGCAAUCAAUUUUGCUCACUAAUAUUUAUAUUUGUCCUUGAUAAUCAGGGAAACAUCCACAGUAUUUGCGCUUGCAAUUAGCACUGCCUGCAGUGAGAGGGAGGCUGAUUCUCACAAAUUAAGGAAUGAAACCCAAAAGCACAGCAGGGAAGGACUUUCUGGAACAGCAUUAAGCCAUCUUUAAGUAUUAAUGACAAGCAUCUUUUAGCAUGAUCAGGCAGCUGGGUGAUUUCAGAGGGAGCUGCUUUAACGAGAAACACAGUGUGACACUGGGAUGGAGGUAAGGGACUACAAGUAGAGAGAGGGAGCAGGAGGUGUCCUGGUGGCUUUGAUGGGGCUGAGGGAAGUGUGACCUGGACGAUUUGACACGACAUGGCCUGUGCCGGUCCCUUGGCUCGGCCUGGCACAGACCAGUGUGACCGUUUCAAUCUUUGCUCACAUCAACACAGUUCUUGCCCUGCUGGGGCACAGCCUGGAGAGAGGGGCAGCCAGUGUGCUUACGUCUCACGCCGCCUUCCGAGUACAUCGUGUGCGAGGGACAACGCGCAGGUCAGGCAGGAACCAAGCAGAGAAUGCGGAGGAGGAUGAGCUGUGGUCCUACCCCACCUCAGCUCCAAAUUGCUGCCCAGACGGCCAACUUUCUGCUUGGCUUCCUAUUUCCAGGGCCCUUGUGAGAGCAGAGAUUUAGCCGUGUUCCACAGAUGACAAGACUAAAACAAAAAUAAUCUCUACCACCUCUAAGUCACCUUUGAUGUUUAACCAAACAUUAGUUGCUGUUACCAGGACUGUUACUUCCGUGUGCUUUUCAGUAAUUCCAAGAAAAAAAGCAAGAUACUUUAUUCAGUGUCUAAACCACAAGAAGAAUCGGCUAAAAAUACAGUGAUCUGUGCUAAGAUUGUUCCUCUUGCAGCAGAGCUCACUUUGGCUUUUUCUCUAACACACUUUAAACUGGGUGAUGGACUGCUUCCAGCGUGUAACUGAAAACACGUAUGACAAAAGGAAACUUUGGAUUAAGGAAGCAAAAUACACGUUUUCAGAUGAAAUGCUAAAGGCUCUGGGUCGUUCUUUGAAGCCACAAAAUGCAACUGCAGAUGUACCUUCUGGAUUCACACUCACGGCAGAAUGUUUCACAGCGUAACAACCACGCUCAAUAUACAGAAAUUGAAACAAUCCAGCUGAAAUAGACACCGGGAAACUGUUAUUUGUUUGUUUAUUUAAGCAAACACAGAACUGUCCAUUUGCAAAUCUCACUAGGUUUGCAUAACUUUUUCUAUUAUAUUUUACCUUUUACCAAGUCUUAUAAUCUCCCAGCGGCUGAACAGGUUGAAGCAAGUGGAAUGACCAGUCCCUUCUUUAAAUGGUGUUAGAAAGCUCCAGAAGAGCAGCACAGCUUAUUGGAACCACGGACACAUACAAACAUGAGUUGCA